GGGAUUAAUUCUGUCAAAUUUGGAUUAUGAACUAUUACUUCCUCUGUAGGUACUAGCUUGUGCCUUGACCUGUGUCUUAGAAAAUUAUCAGUACCCAAAGCUUUCGCGAAGCCAUCUGCAUACUUUAAUUUUGAUGGUAUGUAUUCUACUUUUAAGAUUCCUUUGCUUAUCAAUUCUCUUACAAAGUAGUAACUUAUUUCUAUGUGUCUUGAUCUAGAGGUGAUUGUUGGAUUUUUAGUCAUGAAUAUUGCUGAUUUACUAUCACAUAAUAGUCUUGGAGGAUUCUUCAAUUUUAUUUCCAAUUCUCUUAGAAGAUAACAGUACCAUCUUAACUCUGAGGUGACAUGAGCCAUGGCUUUGAACUCUGCCUCUGUACUUGAAUUAGAGACAGCUGGUUGUUUCUUUGCAGACCAUGAAAGUAAAUUUCCCCAUACCAAAUACUAGAGCCUGUGAUGGAUCUUCUAUCAUAUGUUCCUCUCCAAUCAGAAUCUGUGUAGGCUGCUAAAUCUGGAAAUGCUUCUGAGUUUCUUGUAAUUCUCAAGCCCAAGUAUUCAGUUCCUCUUAAGUAUCUGAAUAUCCUUUUUAUUGCAUUUAAAUGACCCUCUUUAUGAUUUUGGAAAAAUUGACACACUUGAUUAAUAGGGAAUGACAAGUCUAGUCUGAUCAGUGUUAGAUAUUGCAGACUUCCUACCAUACUUCUGUAGCCUGUGAUAUCUUUCACAUCUUCCCCCAUAUCUGCUUGUAACUUCGUAGAUAGUGUUAUGGGAGUCCUUACUGGAUUAGACAGAUGAUAUCCUACUUUUUUAAUAUCUCUUGUGUAUAAUUUUGUUGUGAAAGUACCAUAUUUUCUCCUUGGUAUAUGCAUUCAAUGCCUAGAAAGAAACUGAGUUUCCCCAUAUCUCUACAUUGAAAGGUGGUACAAAUAUUUUUUAUGAAUUCUGAUAUCUUUUGCAUAUAUGUUCCUGUCACAAUUAUAUCAUCAACAUAUAUUAAGACCAUCAAUUUUGAUUCACCUGAAUUUUUGUAAAAAAGAGAGGCAUCUGCAUUUGAAUUCUUAAAUUCUUGAGAUAUAAGUUGCUCCUGUAAUCUGAGGUACCAAGCUCUAGGAGCUUGCUUGAGGCCAUACAAGGCUUUCUGUAGUAGGCACACAUCUUGGGGUCUUGUCUCAUCUUCAAAGCCCUUAGGCUGCUUCAUAUAGACUGUCUCCUGUAAAUACCCAUUUAAAAAUGCAUUCUUGAUGUCCAAUUGCCUUAAUGUCCAUCCAUGACUGACUGCUAAUGAUAAUAUGGUUCUUAUUGUUGAAAUUUUAACCACUGGGCUAUAGGUAUACUGAAAGUCUAUUCCUUCCUCUUGGUUGCAUCCUUGAGCAACCAACCUUGCUUUGUAUCUUUCUAUUGUUCCAUCUGAUUUCCUCUUUAUCUUAUACACCCACCUAGAGCCAAUUAUGUUCAUGUAAUUUUCCUUCUUUACUAGAGUCCAGGUAUUAUUUUCUUUUAUAGCUUUUAUUUCUUCUUCCAUGGCUUUCCUCCAGCAUUCAUACUUAUUAGCUUGUGAAAAAAAUUGAGGCUCACAACAUUCAUUAGAAACAUAUGUAUUACAGACAAAAUCUUUAUAUUUAGUGGAUGGAAUUUUUAAUCUAUGUGAUCUUCCCAAUUCUGACGAAAUGUUCUGUCAUGAUGGUCAGAACCAGAUGGGUUAUGACUUGUAUUUAAGUCCAAGUCUGCCCUGCUCUCAGAAUUUACAAUAGAAAUCGGUUGUAUGUUAUGUUGAACAUCAGAACUUUGAUUAAUAGUAUCUGUAUUAGUAGAUAUACUUUGUUCAGAUUGAUUUGUGUUAGAAAGUUGAUCAGGAGGAUCCCUUUCUAAGCUUUCACUGUCUAUAAUCAUCUGUUGAUUGGAUGAUUCAAUGACUUGUGGGACUGGAGCUGGAAUUUGUUUUUGUGAUAUUGUUAGAAAGUCUAAGGGUUUUCUUUUUUGAUUUUGGGUUUCUACAUUCCUUGAUGGAAUAUCAAGGAAAGGGAAAGACACUUCAUCGAAAAUUACAUCUCUACAUAUUCUUAUAUCUCUGGUUUCUAUGUCCAAGCACCUGUAGCCUUUCUGUUGUGUAGCAUAACCCAAGAAGACACAUGCCUUUGAUUUUGGCAUCAAUUUAUUCCUUCCAAUUCUUGGUAAUAAAGGAAAGCAUUUGCAUCCAAUUGUCUUUAAUUCACUGUAAUCAGGUAUUUUAUUUAGUAACACCUCAUAUGGACUUUUGUUCUCCAAUGUUGGUGUCUUGAUUUUGUUAAUCAAAUAGACUGCUGAAGAGAAUAUUUCUGGCCAAUACUCAUGAGGGAUACCUGAUUUUAUGAGCAAACACCUUCCAACCUCAAUUAUUUGUCUAUGUCUCCUUUUUACAAGUCCAUUCUGUUUUGGAGUGUAUGGACAUGACAUUCUAUGACCAAUUCCCAUUUUCUCUAAGUAUUCUCUGAAUCUAAUGUUCACAAAUUCUCCUCCCUGAUCUGUUUGUACUUCUCCUAUUUUUAAAUCAAAAAAUCUCUCUACUUGUACAUGAAACUUCAGAAAGACUGAUGUAAAAACUGAUUUAUUAAUGAUUGGAUAAAACCAAUUAAAUCUAGUACAUUCAUCAACAAUUGAUAUGUAAAAUCUAUAGUUAUUUACAGAUGUAGUUGGAGAUGGACCCCAAGGAUCUAUAUGUAAAACUUGCAGUGGUUGAGUAGCUAAAUUCUCCCUUCUUUUAUAAGGUAGCUGAUGUGCCUUUCCCAAAGGACAGACUGAACAGAAUGGAUUCUUCUUUUUUUUGCUGGGUUCUAUCAUUAAUUCUGAGGAUAAUUGAUUUAAAACUGUAUCAGAAGGGUGUCCCAGCAUUUCAUGCCAUUUUUCCUUAGUAACCCUUACUCCAUAACAUGCUUGCAUAUCUAAGUAUAGAGGAUAUAGACCUUCUUUACUAAUGCCAGAAAAUAAUAUCUCCAUAGUUUCCCGGUCCUUAAUCAAAAAAUUCAUAUUGUUAAAAAUCACCAAACAAUUUAAAUCUCUAGAGAGUUUUUGUAUAGACAAUAGAUUUUUCUGUAAACCCUGGCACACAUAAUACUCCCUCUAAAAUAAAAUUUUCCCUCCUGAUUUUAAGUUAUUCUCCCUCUAUAAGUGACAGGUAAAUGCUCGCCACUACCUAGCUACCACUACAUAUUGAUUACCUGGAGAUGCUUCAUAUGUUGAAAAAGCUCCUAUAUCUGAUGUCAUGUGGCUGGAUGCUCCUGAAUCCAGGCACCAGAAAUUAUCAUUUUGUGGGGCUGCUGCUGACAUUGCUGAUUCUAGCUGUCCAUAACUCUCAUGAGGACCUUCUGAUGACUGUAUUGGAGCUACGGUUGUAGUGAAAGCUGAAUAGUUGGCUAUGUCUGAGCAUUGUUUUGCCAAAUGUCCCUUUUUAUGACAUAUUUGGCAAUUUUGGGACUGAUCUAAUGAAGAGGGUGUUGAAAUCAUAGGUUGUAGCUUGGUUUUUGGUUGAUUUAAUUGGUACUGACUGGGCAUUGUUUGAUUAGGUGGUUGAUAAUGAUUUUGGGGUGAUUGAUGAUAAUUUUGAGGUGGUGGUGGUUGAUAAUUGUAUUGAUUUUGGUGAGAAGCCUGAUAAGGUCUGUAUCCUAGUCGAGUUUGUGACUGGUAGGGUGGAGGUGGGCUGUUGUAAUAGUGUCCUCUGUACUAAUUUUGUUGAUAAUAGUUUUGUGGUUGGUAAGGUGGAGGUUGGUUGUAAUUUUGAUAACUUGGGUUAUAUUGUCCUCUAUUCUGAUUGUUGUAAUUCUGGUUAUUGUAUGGUCUUCCUCUACCAUAAUUCCCUCUAUAUUGAGAAGCCAUGGCAAUGUUUACUUGAUUUUCAUCAUUGAUUUUCUUUACUAGCAGUUCUUCACCAAGUAGUAGAUCAGUCAGUUCAUCAAAAGAAAUUACUCCCCUGCUCCUCACAGUAGUUAGUAAACAUCUGUAUUCUGAGUUCAAACCUCCCAGAAUAUAAUCUUUCAAACAUGUUUCAGUUAGAGUCUCUCCUGUGUAUGAUAAGGACUCCACCAGUCCUUUAACUCUAACUAUAUAAUCCUGCAUUGAUUCAGUACCUAAUUUCUUUAGGGUUCUUAACUGUUCCUUGAUUACAGUUACCUGUGUAUUGCUUACUGGUGAUAAAAUUUUCUCCAGAUGUAUCCACCCUUUAUAAGCUGAUUUACAUUUAAGUAGCAUAAGCUGGUACUGAUCAAUUUGCUACUGUAACUUUAAUCCAUCCCAAGAUUAAAUCAUCAUCUGCCAUCCAAGUUUCAUAUGCAGGAUUAUCCCUUUUAUCUGCUAGUUUAGGACUUAGGCAGGAGCUAGUGCCAUUUAUAUACUUUAUAAAUUUGUGUGCUCUUAAAGCACGCUCAAAUUGAUUUCGCCACGAUAAAUAAUUUCCUCUCUCAAGCUUGUCUGGUACCAUUGAAAAAAUAUUAUAUGAGACGUGUCCCAUGUGUGUCUGAACUCGUGGUGUAUUAUCUAUUGGGGCAGAUGUAGCCAUGUCUACCUUUAACACAAGUUUCUGUAGAGAUUUAAUUUCACAAAGAGUUUAUUCAAAAGGAGGUAUCUAAUUCUAUAUGAUUUAUAUCCCAAGACUCCUUAGACAACUGAUACCAUGUGAAAAUUUGAGGUACGACAGAUCAUAUCUAUCUAUUAAAAUACAGAAUGAAACAUGAACAAUUUACAGUUUACAAGAUUAAUCUGAAAGUCAAGAAGUUAUUCUUAUAGAAUACAAAUUAGGAAAACAAUUGAUAGCAAACUAGGAAAACAAUUACAAACUAGGAAUUACUGAGUAUGAUUAUUACAAACUAGGAAAAACAGUUUAGACAUAAUUUAAUAACUAUUCAAUCGUUCGGAGAAGAAGCUCAAUUGAGCGAAGGUGACGAUUGAAUCAAAAGACAGAGUAAAAAUGAAUUUAAAAGUAUCUGAAAUUAUUGAAAGAUUACUAUGAUUAGAAAAAGAUUACCAAAGAGAGAAAUGAAGGAAUCAAAUUGCUAAGAGUGCGUGAACUGGGAAUGAUCAAAUUGAUUAAAAACUCACAACUUGAAAAACCGGAAUUGAAUGAAUUCCCUGAUUGCAGUAGUUGAUAAUAUAUUUCAUUGUAUCUUAAAAAUCAGUUGGAGUCAAUAACUGUUUAACUGAUAUUUUUUCUUUCUUUCUCUAAAUUGGUUAAUUUUGGAUUUCCCAAAUUAGUUGAGUUUGGGUGUCGGAUCCGGACCAUGAGCGGAUCCUAUUGUUGAUCCUAUUAUUUCUUUGAACUCUUUAUUAAGGAGGGAGCGGUUACGAAUCAGUUAGCAAAUAACUAGAUUAGUUAAACAAAUAAAUCCUAUAUAAAGAGACUAUGUAAGUAGGAAUAAGUAUUCAGUUUUCAAUACAUUCUAAUUAGGUUUAGUUUGUAAAAUGGUAUCAAGAGCAAUCGGAUCUUGUGAUCAAGAUUUUUCUUCCGCAAACUUUAUUUCCAAUGGAGCUUGACCAGACAACGACGCAACUCCGCCGACGACGGCAGCGUCACGUUCCAGCAAACUCCAGAUUUCUUCGCCGAUCGCGACUUCUUUGUUAAAAACUGUGCAGGAGGCGUCGCCAACAGCAAUGUGAGGUCUUCCCAGAGUUUGGAAGACUUCUGUCCGCCGGAGAGCAAGAUCGGACCUAGGGUUUUCCGCCUAGUCGGGAUUUGGGGAAGAACCGAAAUUAACUACCGGACGGAUUAUUGUAAAAGAGAGAAAAGAGGGGUGUAGUUGAAAAAUGGUUAAUCUUUUUAUGUAAUGAUUAACUUGUAAAAACUUAAGUGAGUAUUAAUUCUUAAUUACAUUUUAUUUAUACUAAUACAAGAUCAUUAACAGCAAUAACAAAAGUAACUAAUUAAUUAAUUAUUUUGGGCCGAAUCUUGAUUCAAUUCAAUUUAAAGUCCAACCCGAUUAGCUGUAAUAAUUCUGCACAAGUACACAAAAUAUUAGUAAUAUCAACCAGGUCCAUUUGACCUGAUUUAUUUUGUGUUAUUUGCAUAACAGUCCUCAAGUUAAUUAUAACUGAAUAAUUGAAACUUUUACGUUUUAAUCCUUGUAUUUCUGAAUCUCAGUUAUACAGCGAAAAACCUUUAGUUUCUUUUAAUUGCACUUAGGUCCAAUUAACGUUUAUUGAAACUUUUAUAAAAGAGACCCUGUUGGUUUAUAACAAAACAGUUAAUCCUGUUUUGUCAUAACCCUUGGGUUAUUUAUAUUACACUUAAGUCCUAAGAUUGUUCUUAUGGUAAAUUGCUUAUUUACCCUGUGUUUCAGUUAUAUUCUUAUACUCCCCCCUCAAGCCUUGGAAUAGGCAUUGUGAAUUCCAAGCUUGACAGAGAAUGCUGAAAUUUCGUUUUCACCUAAUGAUUUGGUGAAUAUAUCUGCUAGUUGGUAUUUGGUGCCAACUUGCUUUAAUUGGAUUAUCCCUUUUUCUAUCAUCUGCCUUAUUGAGUGGCAAGAGAUUUCUAUAUGUUUACUUCUCUCAUGAAAUACUGGAUUGUUAGCCAAGUAUAUGGCUGACUUGUUAUCACAGUAUAAUGAGGUGGGUUUUUUAAUUUUUAGUUUUAGAUCUUUAAAAAGCUGUUGAAGCCAUAAUAUUUCACAUUGGGCUUUGCUGAUGGCCCUAUAUUCAGCUUCACAAGAUGAUAGCGAAACAGUGUCCUGUUUCUUUGAUUUCCAGGAAAUCAAUGAUGUCCCUAAGAACAUGCAAUAUCCUGAUAGUGAUUUCCUACUGAUUUGGCAAGAGGCCCAAUCUGAAUCACAAUAACCAUGAAGAUCCAUUUGAUUUUGGUUCUUGUAUAGUAUUCCCUGUCCAGGAGCAUUUUUAAGGUAUCUUAUUACUUUGAAUAAUACUUGGAGGUGAACCUCAUUUGGGCUUCCCAUGAACUGGCUUAACCAGUGGACAGAAAAUGUUAGAUCAGGUCUAGUGAUAUUUAGGUAUAUUAGUUUACCCACUAGUGAUCUAUAGAAGGUUGGGUCUUCUAAAACCUUAGCCUUUUCAUUUCUUAAGUUUACAUGUCUUUCCAUUGGAAUUUUAGAUGGCUUUGCAUCCAUGAGGCCACUUUCUUCUAGGAUGCCUAGUGCAUACUUUCUUUGAGAUAAGUAUAUGCCAUCUGAUGGAUAUGAGACUUCAAUCCCUAAGAAAUAGGAUAGUUUUCCUAAAUCCUUGAUUUUAAAAUUUUUUUCAAUAUUUUUCUUUAUUAGAAAAAUUUCUGUUUCAUUGUUUCCUGUGAUAAUAAUAUCAUCCACAUAUACUAACAAGUAUAUUAUGUUUUCAUUAUUGUUUCUAACAAACAAUGAAUAAUCAGAUUGUGUUUGUAAGAAAUUCAUUUCAAGAAGUACUCCUUUUAGUUUAGCAAACCAGUUUCUAGAGGCUUGCUUUAAACCAUAUAAGGAUUUGUUUAACUUGCAAACCCUCUUAUCUCCUUCAUUGAGGAGUCCUUGUGGAGGUUUGAGAUAUACCUCUUCAUGAAGAUCUCCAUGGAGGAAGGCAUUGUUCACAUCUAAUUGAUAGAUGUCCCAUCUUUUAAUUGCUGAAAUUGCAAUUAUUGUUCUAAUUGUAGUCAUUUUUACUACUGGGGCAAAGGUUUCAUGAUAGUCAAAACCUUCUUUUUGAGUGAAACCCUUAGCUACAAGUCUAGCCUUGUAUCUUUCUAUUUGACCAUUAGGUUUGUAUUUAACUUUGUAAAUCCAUUUGGAUCCUACAACUUUCUUAUUAUGAAGAAGUGUAGUCAAGGACCAAGUUUUAUUUGAGUGGAGUGCCUCCAUCUCUUUAUUCAUUGCUUCUACCCAUUUUGGGUUUUUAGAAGCUUCUGAAUAUGUUUUGGGUUCAUCUAUUAUUGAUAUUUGAUUUAGCAAAAUUUUAUGUUUUUUGUUUAUUUUGUUGUAUGAAACUUGAUUGCAAAUUGGGUAUUUGCCCUUUUUAUUUUUUCCAUAUCCACUAUCAUUUUCAAGAAAGAAAUCCUUAUAUGCUUUGGGAAUAUGUAUUACCCUUCCUAUUUUUGUUGUUUUGGUUUUAUCAAAUUCCAGGGUUUUUUCUGAAAUUGUGCAAGGAACAUCUUGAUUUUGUCCAAAAUGUUCUCUUGAAUCUUCAGGAAUGUAAAUUCUUCCUGUUUGUGUUCUUUUAUCUGUAUUCUGAAAAUUUUCAGAAAUGAUGCUAUUUUGAAGAUUUUCAGAUUCAUCAUUAAUCUGAAAAUUUUCAGUAUUUUUUGAACUUUGUUGGCUAUCAUUGGGCUCAACAAUGUUUUUUGAAUUGUUUUUACUCAUUGUGAUACUUUCUUUGUGUUUAUUCACAAUUGUAUCUGAGUUUUCUAUUCUAGAUUGCUCUAGAUUUUGUUGAUCUUCAUUUGAUCUUUUUUUUGAAUUUUUGUCAUUGUUUUGGUUUUUUUCUUGUGAUUCGUUAUUUUUGUGUGAAUGAGUGUUUUCUGUUUUGUUUCUAUCUUGAUUAUGAUUUUUAAAAUCAUACCAAGUCUUGUUUGAAUCAUCAUGGAAUAAAAAAGCAUUUUUAUAAAAAUUUUGAAAAUUGAUGAAUUCUUCAUCAUUUUCUGAAAUUAUGCUAUCUUUGAAUGGGAAUAUAGUCUCCCUAAAAGAAACAUGUCUAGAUAUGAAUAUCUUCAUAUCAGAAAUUCUUAGUAUUAGAUACCCUUUUACUCCUUUUGGAUAUCCUAAAAAAAUACCUUGAAAGGCAUAAUUGAUUUGUUGAGGCAUAACACAAACAACCAAAAGACCUUAAAUUCUCAUAAUCUGGAAUUUUUCAUGAAUGAUCUCAUAAGGUGUUUUAUUAUCUAUACAUUUUGCAGGAAUUCUAUUGAUUAAAUGGGCUGCAGUCAAUAUGCAUUCUCCCCAAAAUUGUAAUGGAAUGUUUCCUUGGAAAUGUAGAGCUCUUGCUAUGUUUAGUAAGUGCCUAUGCUUUCUCUCAACUCUUGCAUUUUGGGCAGGAGUAUAAGGGCAUGAGAAUUGCUGAAUUAUUCCAUGUUUCUCAACCAUUCUCUUAAAAUUAUUUGAGGUGAACUCACCUCCAUUAUCACUCCUAAUUAUUUUAAUUUUGGUGUUGUAUUGGUUUUUUACCAUUUUAUAAAAACUUUCAAUGCAAUCUAUUGUCAUUGAUUUGUUUUUGAUUAAAUAUAUCCAAGUGCCUCUACUUAAGUCUUCUACUAUGGUUAGGAAGUAGCUAAACCCAUCAUGUGUCAUAAUUGGGAAUUUUCCCCAUAUAUCUACAUGAAUGAGUUCAAAAUUUUUUUUAGACUUUGAGGUACUAAUGGCAAAUUUAAGCUUUGCCUGUUUUGCAAGUGGGCAUACUCCACAAUUAUAUUGAAUGAUCUUAAUGUCAUCUAUAAUAGAUUUUUGUUUAAGAGAAAUCAAAUUUUUAUUGAAGAAAAUAUUUCCAUCCAAAACAUCAUCUUUAUUCAACAUAUCAUUCUUAUCAUUCAAUACAAUAUUUUUAUUCAAAUCAAAUUCAUAUUCACUUUAUUUCCAAUGGAGCUUGACCAGACAACGACGCAACUCCGCCGACGACGGCAGCGUCACGUUCCAACAAACUCCAGAUUUCUUCGCCGAUCGCGACUUCUUCCACGACGGGUCAUCUGCGAUCGCAAUUUCCAGGUCAUCCACGAGGUCUUCUAUGAUCGCAACUUCUCCAACGACGUUCCGUGAAGUCUGCACUAUCCGCAUCACAUCAUCCGAAUUUCUCCACGCUCGCCACUCCAUCCGCGUCUCUUGCGGAUUCAUCUUCUUGAUUUGGAUACUUGCGAUCUCUGCACAUUCGCAAUUUUGCACUCUUCAAGUUCUCAACGCACCUGUCACAAUGCGAUUUGCAGUCGUCGAUUCCUGCCGCAACACGUUCAUCACAACGCGACUUCGGCAUGUUCGAUUCCUACGAUCUGCAAUUUCCUGUGUCCCACUCAGAAGGUGUCCGAGUCAACCGGCUCCUCGUCCGAUUCGUCCGGCAUGUGUUGCAUUGUGGAGAAAAGUCUGGUUUCCGCGUCUGCUAUCACGAUUUUGGAUUUCACCUCUGCGUUCGGUGACGCGAUCUGCAGUCUGAUUUCCACGUCUGCUAUCGCGAUUUUGGAUUUCACCUCUGCAUCCGGUGACGCGAUCUGCAGUUUGGUUUUUGAUUUCUGCAUUUGCGUUCUCUCAAUCUGCUUUUUUGGAGUUUGCGUAUCAGUCACGCACGCGUCUCUGCAUUUUGGAUUUUGCGUACCAGAUUUUGGAUUCACGCAUUUACAGCUGGUCACGCACUUACAGCUGUUCACGAUAUUGCAGUUGGGAUCGAUUCCUGCAUUUGUCGCCGAUUUGCGUUCAUAUUGCAUUUGCGUUCAUCUUGCAAUCUGUGUCGUCUUGAUUUCUCGCCGAUCAUUCAAAUCUCUUCGCGAUCUUCGUCUUGAAAUUAUUCUCUGCCGAACACGCAACUAAUUUCACCAACGAUCACUGCGUUUUCUUGCUCCGACGUCCAUGGCUUUCCGCGGCGAAGUCACACCCGGCUCGGCAACGACACAUGCAAAGAUCGUCAAGCUCAAGCAUCAAUGCGUUGAGUGACUCUCUGGUAGGAAUUUCUUUGUUUGGCAAGCCCAAGUCCUCACCUUCCUGUAUGGAUAUGGAUUACUAGCAUACGUUACCAGCGACAUCAACAUCAACGGUGACGAACUAAAAACGCAACAGGACCAAUUGAUCCUCGGAUGGCUCUUCUCAAUACUGCAGGUAGAUGUCCUAUCGCAAGUGGCAAGCGCAAUAACGUCGGCGAAGGCGUGGGAGCAGCUGAGCCAAAUUCACGCAUCAACUUCCGAAACGCGGGUUUUGCAGCUACGGCACCAAUUACAAAUCCUCAAGAAAGGGGAUUUGGUAAUGGAGGCUUUUAUUUCAAAGGUAGUAGGGCUCGUCGAAUGCAUGCGUACGGUAGGACUAUCAGUAACCGACUCGGAGAUGAUCUUGUACGUACUGGCCGGAUUAAACACGGACUAUGAGGCGAUUGUCGCCGUAAUCUCCUCCCAACUUGAGAAAAUGACUGUGCCAACAAUGAGAAUGUUACUAACAAAUCAAGAAAUCAGAAAUUCAAAUAAUAGAGCCUUGAUUUCAGAAAUGGCUGAGGUUAAUAUGAUUAAGCAUCGAGGAGAAAGAGGAAAUCGACCAGUCUGCCAAAUUUGUACUAAAAAAGGGCAUGUAGCACUAACAUACUGCAAUCGUCAUAAUCCAACACCACCAGAACACAGGACCCGGCAAUUGCAAAAUCAAAAGAAAAAAGCUCUGAAUGCAGUAUGGACACCGGCGCAAGCAACUCUGGCGCAGGUCAAUGUUCUUUGGAACCCCGAUACUGCAGCCACGGGUCAUGUAUCAGGUACGGAAAAAAUAUUACAUCAUUCUAUAACUGCCAAGAACCACUCGGGUAUAGUCGUUGCGAACAGUACAACUGUUCCUGUAUCUACCACAGGUGACUCAAAAUUCUUAAAACAAGGGAUGGAGAUUUGCGUUGGAGAUAUUUCAAUUGUACCGUCAAUUUUCAGUACUCUCGGUUUAUCGUUUGUAUAACAACAAUAAUAUUGGUUGUUGGAUUGAUAAAUCCUCUGUGGCUAUGAUUGACUUGCAGACUAAAGAGGUCCUGGCACGAGGGAGAGUCUCCGGAGGGAUGUAUGAACUGAACCUGGGGACAUCGGAAAGGAAGCAUGAAGUCAAUGCAGUAGGCAACAUACCGAUAACUCUCUGGCACUAUCGUUUUGGUCACAUCCCAGAGAAGUUAACUAAGUCAAUUGUCAAAAAAUUCCAAUUGGGUGUAUCACAUUUAAAUAAAGAAAUUCCUUCUUGUGACUCAUGUAUAAUGGCAAAACACCACCGUCUCCCCUCCAGAAAACUCUGCUAAACAGAUUCUAGACAUAGUGUAUGCUGACCUAUGAGGCCCAGCACCAGAGACCUCAAUUGAAGGACACUAUUAUUUUCUAAACUUUGUGGAUGGUUACUCUCGUUAUAAUUGGUUAUUUCCUUUGGUGUGUAAAUCUGACGCCCAGAAAGUGUUUAAACUGUUUAAAAUAUUUGUCGAAAAACAAAAAGGGAAAACCCUGAAAGCUCUCUAGACUGACAACGGAGGCGAAUUUCGAGCGUUCAAACCAUUCCUUCAAGAAUGUGGUAUUGCACACUGCCUAUCCUGCCCAUAUGCACAUACUCAGAUGGGUAUGGUUGAAAGGCGUCAUCGGCAUAUAGUCAACAUUGGCCUAGCACUCCUACAUCACGGCCAGAUCCCACUCCGGUUCUGGGAAUUUGCAUUCGCAACAACUGCUUUCUUAUACAAUAGAACCCCGCCACCGAUUCUUGAUGGGGAAUCACCAUUUCAAAGGUUAUUUCAGGUAUCAUCUUCAUACAACGAUCUUCGGGUAUUUGGGUGUCAAAUAUAUCCAAAUCAAAGGCCCGUCAGAAAGAACAAAUUCACAUACAGAUCUAACCCACAUAUAUUCCUUGGCUACCCGAACAACCAUCGAGGGUAUCUUUGUUAUGAUCCAGCUACCGGGAAAUUUAUAAUAUCACGCGAUUGUGUAUUUCAUGAAACUGACUUUACACUUAACGCAAGUUUAAUAGAAGCAAACAAUGACAUGCCUACAAGUGAUCGAGGAUUCGGCCAUCCAGAAAUCGUUGACUCGAGGAAUAUUGAUGAAAUUCCAACAACUUCUGAGUCUGGAAGUGAAUCAAUCUCACAUAACGACGAAAUUGUUCAACACGAUACUACUCCAUCACAACAGCAACAAAGAAUAAUUACAAGGGAAAAACGAGGAAUUCGCAAACCAAAUCCAAAAUACGUCUGCAUGAUCUUCGCACCUCUAUCAGUUCCAACAGGCGCCUCCUCGGCACUACUAGAUCCUAACUGGACAAAGGCCAUGACAGAGGAAUUCGAGGCACUACUAGCAAACGACACCUGAGAACUAGUGUCUAGUACCACGACUACCAAAGUACAAUGUGUUAAGCUGUAAAUGGAUCUUUAAAAAUAAAAUCAGACGGCACCCUAGAGCGUCAGAAAGCAUGGUUAGUUGCAAACGGGUUUCGCCAACGAGACGGUAUAGAUUAUGUAAAACAUUUGUCCCGGUGGUAAAACAGGUAACUAUUCGAGUGAUUCUAUCAUUAGCAGUUGCAAACAAAUGGCAAGUCACUCAAUUAGAUGUAUCAAAUUCAUUCCUACACGACAUACUAGAAGAAGAAGUCUUCAUGCGUCAAGUCCCGGACUUCACAAAAAAAGAAUUCCCGGACCAUGUAUGCAGACUCAAGCGAUCGCUAUACGGGUUAAAACAAUCAUCACGUGCAGUGUUUGUUAGACUCAGAACCGUAUUGCUUCAGCUUGGCUUCUCUGAGAGUACAUGUGACCACUCACUAUUCAUGUUUCGUCAAGGAGAUAUACAAGCAUGGCUGAUUGUUUAUGUCGAUGACAUAAUAUUCACAAGCUCCUCAACGAAAUUUAUAAAAGACACGAUUGAAUCUCUACAGAAACAUUUUCCAAUGAAGAACUUGGUGCAACUACACCAAUUUCUAGGAGUUCAGUGUAAUUGGGUAGACGACGACUCUCUAUAUUUAUCUCAACAUCAAUACGCAAGGAUGAUUCUAGAGAAGUGCGAACUGGACACUUCAAAACCAGCCCACAUAGCCAUGGAUAACCGGGUCAGGCUAUAUGAUGAAGCCGCUCCAUUCAAGUCACCAACUCUGUUCCGUCAACUGAUUGGAAGCUUACAAUAUCUGACUAUUACACGCCCUGACAUAUCAUUUUCGGUAAAUAAAAUUGCACAAUUUAUGCAAACACCAUCAACUGUACACUGGAUGGUUCUAAAAAGAAUCCUUCGCUACAUUGCCAGGACAAUCUUCCAUGGGAUCCACAUCAAACACUCGGGAACAUCUAAACUAGUAGCUUUCUCUGAUGCCGAUUGGGCAGGAGACAAGCACGAUAGUCGGAGUCAGGGGGCGUAUGUUGUGUUCUUUGGUCCUAAUUUAAUAUCAUGGCGAUCCAGAAAGCAAAGCAUGGUAGCUCGCUCCAUAACCGAAGCAGAGUAUCGAAGUGUCACAGACACAACAACAGAAAUGGACUGGAUCAGAGAGCUACUAAAGGAUUUGGGUAUACAAGUUCCAAUACCAGCAAAAAUUUGGUGUGACAACUCCGGAGCAAUAGUCAUUUCAAAAAAUCCAUCGCACCACAUGAAGUUCAAGCACUUCGCUAUGAACUACCACUUUGUUCGAGAACGGAUGUUCGCUAAAAUACUCGAAGUUCGGUUCAUCGGGUCAAAAAAUCAGAUAGCAUAUCUCCUCAACAAGCCACUUUCACGACAACCGUUCGAGACAUUACGUGUCAAGCUUACCGAAAAACUUCUGUUACGCUCGAGGGGGCAUAUUAAGGAGGGAGCAGUUACGAUAGCAAAUAACUAGAUUAGUUAAACAAAUAAAUCCUAUAUAAAGAGACUAUGUAAGUAGGAAUAAGUAUUCAGUUUUCAAUACAAUCUAACUAGGUUUAGUUUGUAAAACUCUUUUGAUUGUUUCACAGACACCACUCUCCACAAGGUCAAGAAGUAGACACUUGAUUCAAUCAUCUCCCGUCUGUAGGUUCUUAUUUCUAUUUCAGAUCAUUACCUAUAAUUUUUGUUUCAAAUCAGAUCUCGUUAUCCAAAUCAUCACCUUCUUCGGUUUAUUAAAAUUUCAUUACCUAUAAUUUUUGUUUCAAAUCAGAUCUCGUUAUCCAAAUCAUGACCUUGUUCGGUUUAUUAAAAUUUGAAACAAUUAUAAUCAUGCAUGGCCUUCUUCAGACAAUCUACCUUCUCCAAACAUUAAAAUAGCUAGACCUUUAGUGAUUUGAUCGGUGACAGUAAUUUGAAAUAUGAUUUUACCCAUAGCAAUUGAUUGAUUAUCUUGUCUAUUUAUAUUUUCAAAUCG
rnacentral:lncRNA from 1 species